GUAGAAAUCUACUUAGGUUUGGUUACAGUUAUCUGAAGCACCUGGAAGAGGGACUUGGGAAGUGGCAGUUUGUGCAGGAAUGGCCCCAUUAUUUCCAUUAUGGGCUGAAUAUUCACACUUCAUCUUGAAACACUCAUGUAAGAGGAAAAGAAGAACUUCUGCAGAUUCAGGGAUCAACACUGAUGACAUUCUAAAUUCACUUGGACCAAAUCUGAAUAUCAGAUGAAUCACAUUAUCUACUUUGUGGGACCCAUUUAGAAAGACUCCAAAUAUCCAAAUGACACCAGCUAAGGAUACAAAAGAGAAUUAUAAAGAGGAAGAUACUGCAGACUGGCUCGUUACAUAUGGACUCUGACUCCCUUCUAGAUUCCCUUCUGCACUAUGGUACUUGAAAAACUGCAUUUACUAGCCUCCAGGGUUCAAGGCCAUGACAAGGAGUUUUGUCCUCCUUCAGGCACAGAGGUAAUAGUGUUUUGUUCUUCUGGAGCUUUUGCAGCAGAGAUGUUGGUUAUAGGUCCCCAGAGUCCUGGUUCCUAUGUGAUAUGCAGUCCCAGCAAUAGUUUUUCAUGUGAUGUUGAGUACGUUUUCCAGCUUGGUGGUAUCAAGAUUUAUGGUAUGUAAGCUCCAUUCCUCAAUCCUUCAAAGAUUCUAUAAAUGCAUACUCUUUAAUGAAUCUUUCUUGACUCAAAUUAGCUAGAGUGGAUAUUAUUGUCAUGUAAUGGGAAUCCGAAUGAUGUAGGUGAGGCUUCUGAAUUUUUAGCUUUUUGAAUACUUAUUACUUAAUUUAUCUUCAAAAUAUUUGUAUCAUAUACCUUCCUACAAGCAGUGCACAAGUUUC